UGGAUCGGUGAGGACCACAGGUGGCUUAUGAGUCGUACCUGAUGAAUCCGUGUCUGAAACUCCGAGGUCCAC